rnacentral:rRNA from 1 species
UACGUAGGUGGCAAGCGUUGUCCGGAUUUACUGGGCGUAAAGAGCGCGCAGGCGGUCGUUCAAGUCGAGUGUGAAAGCCCCCGGCUCAACUGGGGAGGGUCACUCGAUACUGAUCGACUCGAAGGCAGGAGAGGGAAGCGGAAUUCCCGGUGUAGUGGUGAAAUGCGUAGAGAUCGGGAGGAACACCAGUGGCGAAGGCGGCCGGCUGGGGGUGACCUGACGCUGAGGCGCGAAAGCGUGGGGAGCGAACCGG